rnacentral:rRNA from 1 species
AUGGCUCAGGAUGAACGCUGGCGGCGUGCCUAAUACAUGCAAGUCGAACGAGAGAGCUUGCUCUCUAGUGGCGAACGGGUGAGUAACACGUAGGUAACCUGCCUUACAGUUUGGGAUACCCUGGCGAAAGCUAGGCUAAUACCGAAUAAUUGGAUUGGAGGCAUCUCCGAUCUCUAAAAGGGGCCUUUAAAGCCUCGCUGAAUGAUGGACCUGCGGCGCAUUAGCUAGUUGGUGAGAUAACAGCCCACCAAGGCGAGGAUGCGUAGCCGACCUGAGAGGGUGAACGGCCACAUUGGGACUGAGACACGGCCCAGACUCCUACGGGAGGCAGCAGUGGGGAAUCUUCCGCAAUGGGCGCAAGCCUGACGGAGCAACGCCGCGUGAAGUGAGGAAGUUCUUCGGAACGUAAAGCUCUGUUGUUCCUGACGAACCUCCCUUCUAUCAACAACGGAGGGGACUGACGGUAGGGAACGAGGAAGCCACGGCUAACUACGUGCCAGCAGCCGC